CCAAACAGCGCUUGUUUCUUCCUCCCCAGCCACGGGCUGCCUGCCUGCCUGCCUCCUUGGCCUUGUUUAAACAAGAGAGAGCAGGCCGCAUUUGGACAAGAAGGCUGGUGACCUUCCCUCAGUGCUGGAGAGCAGGUCAGCAUGUCACUAUUCAGCCUGAACGUGGCUUGCUUUCCCACUUUUAGGUCUUCCUGACUUCUAGAAACCGGGCCGUACGAGUUUUAUCAUCUCAGAAGUGUGCUGCCAAAGCUCAGGAAACAGACACCCAGAGAAGUUCAAAGCCUUAUUCAAGGUUUCAUGGUCAUGGAGUGAGAAAGACGGAGUGUGGAGCCAGGCUGGUCUGGUUGCAGACAUUAUUCUGCGGCACUCUUACCAAGGAUUACAGUCCCAGCUCUGAAUAAGCCCCCCUCCCAUGCCUUUCUGGGCUUGUAGAAUGAGUUGACAUCGAUGAUCUCUAAGGAUCCUUCCAACAUAACCCUCUGUGACUUGGAACUGCCAAUCUCAGGGAGAGGGGGAGCUCCUCCCUGGCUGAGAAAUCUGCCUCCUUCCCUGGCUAACGGAAAUCUGCUGCAGAUCGGGGAGGAUGAUGACGUUCCUUGAGAAGCAAAUGAAGAGCUGGGGCUCUCUUACCAGCCCAGGGCCUUAGGUUCAAAUUGCAGAUCUGGGUUUGGAAGUGCAGCUGACAUGGAAACCUGCCCAGGCCUAUAGCAGAAUCCCAGCAGCCACUGGGAGAAAGCAGAGCUCCCUACCCUGUUUCCUUGGACAAUGCACAGGAACCCAGGUGUGGCUGCGGUCAUCUGGUCUACCUUCCAGGCUCCAAGAAGGGCUGUGCCCAACUCCUCCCAGACAGGGAGGUUUUCACCCUAUUCUGAAGGCAUCAACUCCCCCCAUUGCCCCCCCCCAGUCACUCACCUAUUCCAGUAAUAACAA